GAUCACAAAGUUACAAACGUUCACUGCAAUACCUGCAACUCUCUUUUGGGUUUCAAAUUCAUUGAAGUCCCGAUCUAUGAGGGUGGACCGUGUAAAGAGGAUUUCCUUAUUCCUUUGAAUACUCUGUUCAUGUAUGACGGCCACCAUUUCCUUGAUGCUCAAACUGAAGAGCUAAUAAUAGGAUAGCUGCAGAUACAACUGAUUUCCGACCCAUCAGCUUCGCCAAAUUACUAGUUAACCAAUUAUGAUUCGUUUCAUCAUUAGUUAAAAUAUAUAAAUAAUCUCUCUGUAAAUAAAUAAAUAAAUAAAUACAACAGCUUCCAUUUCCAUUAAUUAUUUGAUCCCAUCAUCAUCAUCAUCAAUCU